GCUUUCCUGUGGCUCAGUUGGUAGAGCAUUGUGCUAGCAACGCAAAGGUUGUGGGUUCUAAUCAUAGGGAAAGCA
rnacentral:tRNA from 1 species